GUGGGGAAUCUUCCGCAAUGGACGAAAGUCUGACGGAGCAACGCCGCGUGAGUGAAGAAGGUUUUCGGAUCGUAAAGCUCUUUCGUUAGGGACGAACGUGCUGUUUGUGAAUAAUGAGGAGUAAUGACGGUACCUAAAUAAGAAGCCACGGCUAACUACGUGCCAGCAGCCGCGGUAAUACGUAGGUGGCAAGCGUUGUCCGGAAUUAUUGGGCGUAAAGCGCGCGCAGGCGGGAUAUCAAGUCUGUCUUAAAAGUGCGAGGCUCAACCUCGUGAGGGGACAGAAACUGGUAUUCUUGAGUGUCGGAGAGGAAAGUGGAAUUCCAAGUGUAGCGGUGAAAUGCGUAGAGAUUUGGAAGAACACCAGUGGCGAAGGCGACUUUCUGGACGAUGUCUGACGCUGAGGCGCGAAAGCUAGGGGAGCGAACGGGAUUAGAAACCCGGGUAGUCC
rnacentral:rRNA from 1 species